UUUCAUGGCAUUCAGCAUCUAAGGUAGUAUUCUCCCGACGUAAGGAUAGAACUUCUUGCUUCAUUCUCUGGCAUUCCUUAUCGAUUGGGAAAAUAAAGCAUUCUAAAGUAUUUUAAAGAUUUAAGCUUGAUUCAAAAAUGCUGAAGAAGAUCUAUAAAUCUCUGAGGAAAAGCAGAAAAAUCUACCAGAAGACUUUGCUGGAGUUUUAAACUACAUAGAAAAAAAGAAAAAAUUAAAUACACCUACCAAUGUAAUGUGUGUAAGAGC